rnacentral:lncRNA from 1 species
UUCGUUGUUGAGUCCUUCUUCAAUAACCUGACUAUCUCCAUGUCCAACAUCGUCACUCCCUACUCGUCGUAAUGAUAGCAAAAGACAAACAAUAAAUACCAAAGAAAUAACAAAUCCUAAUAACAUCCAAAACAAAUUAAGAGUGGAUGAAUAGCAAGAUAUUGAUCGGAUGGAGAUUCCAAAAUGAAGUAUCAUGAUAGCGAAGGUGAGAUAUAGGAUUCAACGAAGUGAUACGGUUAGGUUGACACUACUAAUUAAGGAAGGCUUGACGAUCAAGACUAACGUUGUGAUGCAGAUUAAAAUAAAAUAGGAUCCACUCCCUUAUGACAAACCCAUACUAUGGUACAAAGUAAUUAACAAACUUAAUAAUGAGACACAUCUCAUGCAAUGCAUGUGUGUAUAGGAUCAUAAAGAUGUGUUAACUAAUAACACAAGCAUCAAACAUACAAGUGAUCAUGAGAAUAAUUAAACUAGGAGAUGCUCUUUAUAAAAUGAAAUAACAAAUAUCCAAUUAACUACUAAAAACAAGACUAUACCCACAUGCUUGUAAUAGCAUGGAAAACUAAGCACACUAAGCUUAUGAGAAAGGCACAAGUCAACUAACGAAAGGUAAACAAUCCAAUCAUGUGAUGAACUAAUGAAACAAGUAUUAAACACUCAUAAUACUAAAAUGAUACAAAGUCAAACAUCUAUACGGAGGAACUAAGUACGCAACUAUAACACACAAAACAUCGUGAGGCAUGAAAGAUGUCUAAGCAUAGAAUAACGCAAUAGCAAGGUAAACAAAUAUAACAUCUAAACAUGGAUGAUCAUCACAUGAGAUACCACACUAGGCUACCAAAAGAAUACAACUCGUAACUAUGAGAUAACUUAAUUGAUAUCAACUAUCAUGAAGAUCAAUCAUGGCACUAGCAUGCAAUCUCACAUUCUAGUCAUGACAUGUAAGAACACGAAAUCAUGGAAUAAGGACACAACCCUAUCAUGUUAGUUAAUAUAGGUAAGCACGUUCAUAAAGAGUAAUGAACAUGUAGGCGAGUAAACAACUAGAUCAUAUAAUCAACUACUCAACAUGUAUUAUACAACACGAAUAACAUGAUGGCAUGUGUUUCUAAAUAGUACAACCUCAUUUGCAAAUACAUAGAAGCACAACCAAGGCAUCGUACAACACACGGGUUGGUACACACAUGACAUGUAAGUCAACUAAAGUAAUAAAGUAGAACCUAAUUGGUACAACACACGGGUUGGUACACACAUGACAUGUAAGUCAACUAAGCAUGCAUAGCUACCAUCCUAGAUAAACAAGACAUCUAAGAUAAUUAACAAGAAGUAAUAAAGAAGGUUACAUGCUACAUCCUAAAUCAUAUGUAAGAAUACAAAUCGGAAACUGUGACAUGAAACAACCAACAAUGAAUAAUGGAUAGCAAACAUCUAUAAAACUACAUGAUCAAAUAGGCGAUAAUAUCUAUGCAACGAACUACGAUGUAGUCACCCCCAAUAACAAAGCAUCUCAUUUGAUAUCUAUCAUAAUUAACAUAUGCAAAACACAUGAAAUAAUACAACUAACCUAUACUAGACAUGCAUGACUAAAUGGUAGCCGACCAAGAUAAUUAUUUAGAUAACUCUAAAUAUUUGUAAAGAUUAAAUGACAAUUAACUAUACGCAACAACCAAUGAUUAACCUUGGCUUCGUUUAGCUUAUCGCAACUCUAAAACAAUAUCAACUUACUCAAAAAUCUAAUGUAACAUAACAUGCUCAUGAUAACCAGUGAAUGAAAAUUAAAUAUAUAACACAUAUGAUUAGAUAAGUGCUAACCUACAACAUGCCUUGACUUCACGCAUAAACAAAUCACAUAUGCAACAUGAUUGAGAACGAAAAUAUGAAAUAAUCUAAUAUAUCUACCAUGUAAGCAAAAAUAAAAAAUACACAAGAAAUAUUCCAUAACUAAAGAAAUGAAGUAAAGCUUCGAAUAACCCUACAUAAAUAUACGCAUGGUAAUAAAUCACAAAAAAAAAACUCGCACAUAUUACAUCAUACGACUAUAUAGAGAACUAACAAUUAUGACAUGAAAUGACACAUAAAACAUUGUUGUAACUUAAACAAUCCUACAAAUAAAUAUAGUAACGGACAGAUUACUACUAAAAAGUCCAAAGUAAUUAUGACUCAUUCCUCACGUGUUAAUCAAAUAUUGUACGCAUACACAAGAGAGGACUGCAUCAUGUAUCUAACAUUAUCAUCAGGAGACAACACAUACACUAUAUUUAAUAACUCAAACAAAAUCCUGAUUAAAUAUACCAACCAUGACAAUAAUUCGUAAAGUUCAGUACACUAGCACAAGAAGAACUAUAGGUAGUGACACAAAUUCGAGUCAAAACAAUACGUACAACAAUUUUAACAAUUCUAACAAGACUAAAAUUGAUUUAAUAAAUCAUAUGUGACUUUUAAAAUUAUGAAAUACCUUAAGGUGUUUCCAAGGUAUGUCACAAACAUAAUACAAACAAUAGACUAACAAGAAACGGCUACAAGCUUACGUUAAAAUUAACAUGUUAAAUCUAUACAAAACUGAUUUGAACAAUCAAACGAUCUAACUCCGGCCCAGGGUUGCUACAGCCAUAUAAAACAUUGUAUAUGUUGACUACAAGAUCAUUCGACGAACAAAAAUUGAAGAGACAAGCCUAUGCCAUCAAAUGAACUGAAUUUUGGAUUAGCGUGGCCAACGACGUGGAUAAUAUGAAACAUGAUGUCUAGGCAAUAAAACGAAAGGCAUUAAGGAGGUGCGCAAAAUGAAUUGGAUAUUCGCUCACCGAGCAUGAAGAUAUAAUGCAAUGAACUCGACGAAAAGUGUACACGGACAUGCGGAAUUCUUUGCGUGUGGUUGACGGAUCACCUUUUUUCUUCUCUGAAUGGAUUCACGACAUGGACGAUGAUCUUGUGGCGCAAGGACAUGAAUAGGGGUGGCUUGAGUCGCCAGAAUCGUGCACCGGCGUCCAUGGAGCAGCAGCACUUCCGGAAGAGAUUGUGGAAGAACGAGGAAGGUAGAGGGCAAGGCGUUGAGUGGAAUGACAGAGGAGGUCGAUGUGCACCUAUAUGUAGUCACGGAAUUUGAAACGAUCAAGAGUUAAAUAAAUUAGUGGAGAAG